AUAUAUAUAUAUAUAUAUAUAUAUAUAUAUAUAUAUAUAAAGGGCCUAUUUAUCUUGCUUUCACAGUAUUUUCUUCAUUAUCAGUAUCUUUUAUUUCACUUUCGCUUUCAAUAUCUGAAAAUAUAUAUAUAUAUAUAUAUAUAUAAAGGGCCUAUUUAUCUUGCUUUCACAGUAUUUUCUUCAUUAUCAGUAUCUUUUAUUUCACUUUCGCUUUCAAUAUCUGAAAAUUAUUUCAGAUAUUAACGCAUUCUUUUAUGGUAUGUAUUAUAAUAAUUUUCAUUCCCACAGUCGUCAGAAUCUUCAAUUUUGUUUAUAUUGUCAAAUUCUUUCUCGCUUUCGCACAUAAUUUGUUUAUAUCAGAAUCCGAUUCAGAUUAAUUUUCAUUUAUACUGGUUAUUCUUUUUAUUUUUCUUAUCAUUCUUUUUAUUAUUCUUUUUUUUAUUAAUUCCAUGUCUUUUGAAGACUUGCAUAAUAUAACCGUAAUAAUAUAAUUAUAUAAUAAUUAAAUAAUAAUAUAAACGUAAAAAAGAAUUUUUUUUGAAUAGGUUUUGAAAAUAUCUUGAAAAAUUCAAAUUUUCAUUUACGAAAAUAAAUUUUUGCUAUGUUUCCAAAUAGCACUUAUUUUUUUUUUUUUUUACAAAACGCACUGUUGAAAUUAUUUCUCAUAAAUCUACUUGUUUUAUAAAAUAAUAAAAGAGAUUCAUUUAUAAAAAUUACUUUUCUCUGAAAAAUUCACCGUCGAAAGAAUUAUUUGUUUAUUAUAUCACAAUUAUGCAAAACAACUUUGAUUAUGUAUUUAUUGCUAAACAGUCAUCAUUUGUUUGGUGUUGUUUUUUUUAUUCAUUGUUAUUUCAUAUUUUUAUUAUUUUGCAAUAAUUGAUCUAUAUAAAUUAACCUGUCAAAUUGACGGAUUUUCGUAAAAAUACAACAUCUAGAAAUAAUAAAAUAUAAAUGUUUCAGAGAAAACGAAUAAAAAAAUAUAUUUGCUGCAUUUAAAAAUCAUUAAAAAUCGAAUAUAUAUUUAAAGAAUAACAUUUGCAUAUUCAGAAUUUUUAAGCAUAAAAUCGAAAACUCAUCAAAUUGACGAAUUCCGUAAAUCUACUAUUAAGAAGUUUUCUGAAAGUCUACAUAUUAUAGGAAGUUUAUUAAGAAUUUUUCUCAUCGAUGGCAAAAUCUUUGUAUCAUUUAAGUGAAAAUAAAAUUCAAUAUAGUUAAUGAAUUAAUGAUUGUCAGACAUUUCAAGAAUUAAAAAUAAAAUUGACGCAAUUUUUUGUUUUAGCGAAUUCUUUAAAAAAUAAAAAAUUUAUUUUAGAUGAUGGAUGUGUCAAGUUUUAAGAUCAAAACAAUCCUAUCCCAGGAAAGAACAGGAAAGUCAUCAUAAUUGUAUAUAUUGUAAACAUUCUUAAAAAAGAUCAAUUACUAUGUAACUUGUAAAGAAUUGUUAGUAAUGAAAUCAGUAGAACAUUUUCAGUACGAGCGAAAGUUUUUUUUAAGGAUUUGCAAAAUGUAGUUUUACGAUAUUAUAGUUUUAGUUUUUAGUUUAAAGGUUAAUGUUUUUCGUGAAUCUGACGAGACAAAUAGCCUAUUCAAUAAAAUGCUUAUAAAAACAUGAUUUUGAAAUUCAACAUUAAGAUAAAGUUUCUCGUAACAAUACUGAUAUUAUAUCAAGAAGACUUUGUAUUGAAAUAAAUUAUAAAAAAUAUUUACGCUAAGAAACCAAGGACAAAUUCAUAAAAGAAAAAGAUUUGUUUGAUAAUGAAUUGUGAAAUAUAAAAUUUAGAUUGUAAGUUAGCUUAUUGAAAAAUGAAAAAAUAGGAUUUAUUUUUUACUAUAUAAAAAGAAAGAAGAAAAUGAAAAUCCAAUGGCAAGAUAUAAUAUAGUUUUCGUCUAUCAUGAAAUACUAUUGGAAAAUAUGAGAUUUCCUGGAAUUAUAAAGAUUAUUAUUCCAAAAAUGAGAAUUAAGAAAUAACUUGAUUGUUAGUACUAUCUCGAAAGAAGAAUUCAAAAGUUUUAAAGAAAUGCCAUGAUUCAUCAGCAGUUGGAUACUUUGGAAAUAAAAUGUUAUCAAAAGGUCAAGAAAGAACUUCUUAAGAAAAAAGAGAGGAUUUAAAAAAUUUAUAAUAUUGGAGUAUUUGAGAGAACUUGAUGUACUUCCAAAAUCUGGAAAUUGAUUUGCAGUGAUGUGAUUGAUUAUUCACAAAGUGAUACUAAUGUCGACAAAUAUUUACAAUCGUCAAGAUGUUGCUCCAAUAUGUUGUUGUAAAAUCAAAAAAUUUUUCAAGAAUCAAUGAAAUUGCUUGGAAAAAGACAAGAACGACUCCACUAUAUCUUUAGUCAAAUAAUUAGCAGAACAUUUAAUUAAAAUUUUAUUAUAAUAUUUGUUAAUGUUUGUUGUAAAUUAAAAUAAUUGAAACAAA